GAAGAAAAGAGUAAAAAGAAGAAGGGAUGGAAUUGAGAUCAUAAUACAGAAGAAGACAAGACAUUUCCCGGGACACUCUCAUGAAAAUACUCUCUUUCCGUGGUGCCAUUGAUUUGGCUCAGAUUAAAGGUGUCGAGAUUGCGAUCACUGAUCUCAGCAAUGCUUGCAGGAACAGAUACCCCUUCCAGGAACGUGGGGAUAUGGUCUUUUUCCGUGCCUAGAAGGUGCCUCGAUUGAAGAUUCUGGAGCCCAAAAACAGUUUUGUAUCCCUUAUCUUCAAUCCCAGGGAAAAGGAAGACGUGAAGCCGGUUAGUCCCAAGUCAGUGAAACCUCAAAGCCAGAGGAGAAGAGAAGAAUCAAGUCUAGGAAGCAGCCAAGUCGUAGCUUUAAAUUGGUUCCAACGAAGCGAGAACUUUGCCAAAGUCAGGAGCGGAACUUGGUUUAUAGUCAUGUGUAACAGUCAUAGUGAUUGGCUGUCACCAGUGGCGUAACUACAGAGGAAGCCGACCCAGCAGUCGCGGAGGGCCUGGGAGUACAGGGGGCCCGAGCACCGAAUAUAAAAAUUGUGAGCAGAGCACACAUCUUGCCAAGUUGCCGGCCCCACCACAGAACGCCGCUUAUUAUUUGCAGCUCGCACUUGUGCAUUAAGAUAAUCACGCCCCAAAGGCGGUACGUACUGCGUGACGUCACAGCCUCGCAGCAUGGAUUAGCAAACUAUGAGUUGUUUUCAGAAUAUCUGGACUGUCCUACUAAAAGGCGUGACUCGUGGGCGGCAUGCCUUAGUAUCUGUGUGAGUGUGACCAAUAAAUGAAAGACAUCGAAAUAUUAUGAUAUUCACCUUGAUUUUUUUUCAACAUGGCUUACUUAUCAUCAAGCACAGUUUUCUAUUUUUACAGAAUGUAUUUCAAAGCUUUUUGGAUACCUGGUUUCUUUAUAAUAGUUCCCAUACUUUGGGCUUACUCAUCAGGCAGAAUAUAGACAGGGCAAUGGUUGCCACAUGUCCAGUUUUAAAAUGGACAUCCCAGUUUUAAAAGGACUGUCCGGUUCAAAACUUUCUAUCCAGUUUAGAACAUUGAAAAUACUGGACAGAAAUCCAGCCAGUUGGAAGUGAAACUCCAGCAUCAUAACCUCAACUAACAUCAUUGUGCCCUCCUCUGACAUCAUCAUCACGGCUGGAUUUCCCUCAGAGGCACCCUGAAGCCUCUAGGUCCUAGCGCCAGCUGUAUGCUUUCACACGCACGCCCCCCACAAGUGCACAUACGCAUUCGCUGGAGCACCAGGGACCUGUGGACCUUACUACGUGACUUCUGCACUGAAACCCUUUUUCAAA